UAUUUACUAUGAGCAGUUUGAUGUAAUAUAGGUUUUUUUUAGUGUAAUUGAAUUCAUAGAUAGUAUAGUUUUGAGCUUGUAAUGAUGCUUAUUUGUUGACGAUAGUGGAAGAUGGCAUGCCUGUGGAUGUAACCCUAUAUUGAGAGGAUGAACCACAUAAAUAUCAUUGUUUUGUGUGUUUACUUUAUUUCUUUGUAAUUUAUACUUCCACGGUGCACAACAAUUUUUUAUAUUUAAACUUUAGUAUCACAUAUUUGCACCUUUUUAAAUUUCUGAAGUCUUCAUUGCAUCAAUAUACUUUACUUCUUGCAGCAUCUAAAGAGAGGAGCAUAAUAAAUCAGAAUAAAGAAAGACAUACUAAGCCAUACCAUUAUUUAGACAAGAGGACAAUCAAUCAGGAAAAGCAUUCAUUAAUUUCGAAAGUGAAAACUUGAACAAAACUGUUUUUUAAAAGGGAAAAUGCAUUUAGAGAUGAACUUAAUACCAAUCUUCUAGCAGUUUAUUCAUUACUCAUGACAAGUCCAAUAAUAUUAAUAUCAUAUCAAAGAGAAAAACAAGGGAUGAAAUAAUACUAAGAAAACAUGAAGAAGAGUGUAAAAUUGUUGCAAACUAUGUUGCAGCAACAUUUGUAGCCUCACCUGGCACUGCUCUACCUGACAGA
rnacentral:misc_RNA from 1 species